rnacentral:tRNA from 1 species
GAGCGUUUGGCCGAGUGGUUAAGGCGUUGUGUUUAGGCCGCAAUGGGUCCGCCCGCGCAGGUUCGAACCCUGCAGCGCUCA